AGAGUUUGAUCCUAGCUCAGGAUGAAUGCUGGCGAUGUGGAUAAGGCAUGCAAGUCGAGCGGCCCGCAAGGGCAGCGGCGUAAGGGUUAGUAACGCGUAGAUAUCAACCCUCUACUCAGGCACAACUUGGAGAAAUCUAAGCUAAUUCCUGAUAGUCCGAGAAAUCGGUAAAGGUUUUCCGGUAGAGGAUGAGUCUGCGUCCUAUCAGCUAGUUGGUGAGGUAAUGGCUCACCAAGGCGAUGACGGGUAGGUGGAGUGAGAGCUUGGCCGCCAACAAUGGCACUGAGACACGGGCCAUACUCCUACGGGAGGCAGCAGUCGAGAAUAUUGCGCAAUGGGCGAAAGCCUGACGCAGCGACAUCGCGUGAAGGAUGAAGAUCUUCGGUUUGUAAACUUCUUUUCUAUGGGAAAAAUUUUCUGAUUGUACCAUAGGAAUAAGGGAUGACUAAACUCGUGCCAGCAGUAGCGGUAAUACGAGUGUCCCGAGCAUUAUCCGGAUUUACUGGGCGUAAAGAGUUCGUAGGUGGUUCAUUAAGUUUCUCGUUAAAUCUUCAGGGCUUAACCUUGAGGCUGCGGGGAAAACUGGUGAACUAGAGGAUGUUAGAGGCUAAUAGAACACUUGGUGGAGGGGUGAAAUCCGUUGAUAUCAAGUGGAAUACCAAAAGCGAAGGCAAUUAGCUGGGGCAGUCCUGACACUGAGGAACGAAAGCGUGGGGAGAGAAAAGGAUUAGAUACCCUUGUAUUCCACGCCCUAAACGAUGAACACUAGCUAUUGCAAGUGUCGACCCUUGCAGUGGCGAAGCUAACGCGUUAAGUGUUCCGCCUGGGAAGUACGACCGCAAGGUUAAAACUCAAAGGAAUAGACGGGGACCUACACAAGCGGUGGAUCACGUGGCUUAAUUCGACAAUAAGCGAGGAACCUUACCAGGGCUUGAAGUUCUACUGAAAGCUACUAGAAACAGUAGCCCACCGAAAGGACAGUAGACCAGGUGCUGCAUGGUUGUCGUCAGCAGGUGGCUUGAGUUGCUCCCUUAAAUGGGGUAACCUGCGCAACCCUU
rnacentral:rRNA from 1 species